rnacentral:precursor_RNA from 1 species
ACGUGGGUGUGCCCAGCAGCAGUGCCGUGAAUGGAAGGGCCUCGCUGCUCACCACCCAUGAGA